GGUAAUUCUGGAGCUAAUACGUGCACCGAAGCUGUCCCUCGCGGGGCAGUGCAUUUGUUGGAGCAAAACCAGGCGGCUUCGGCCGUUUUUGCUGACUCAGAACAACUUAGCUGAUCGCAUGGGCUUGUCCCGGCGACGUACCGUCCGAGUGUCUGCCUUAUCAACUUUCGAUGGUAGUGUACGUGACUACCAUGGUUGUGACGGGUAACGGAGGAUAAGGGUUCGACUCCGGAGAAGGGGCCUGAGUAAUGGCCACUACGUCUAAGGAUGGCAGCAGGCGCGCAAAUUACCCACUCUCGGUUCGAGGAGGUAGUGACGAAAAAUAACAAGGCUGUUCUCUACGAGGCCAGCCAUUGGAAUGGGUACAACGCAAACCCUUUAACGAGUAUCAAUGAGAGGGCAAGUCUGGUGCCAGCGGCCGCGGUAAUUCCAGCUCUCAAAAUGCAUAGAACCAUUGCUGCGGUUAAAAAGCUCGUAGUUGGAUCUGUGCCGGCGACGUGGUCCACCCUAACGGGCGGUACUGCGCUCGUCGGCUUUGGGCCGGUCUUCGUGCGGCCGCCUUAACUGGUGGCCGCCCGUGGCUGGCUGGUUUACUUUGAGCAAAUCAGAGUGCUCAGCACAGGCGUUUCGCCGGAAUGUUCGUGCAUGGAAUAAUAGAAAAGGAUUUCGGUCCUCUUUUAUUGGUUUUGUGGACUGAGAUAAUGGUUAACAGAGACGAACGGGGGCAUUCGUAUUGCUGCGUGAGAGGUGAAAUUCUUGGACCGCAGCAGGACGGACUACAGCGAAAGCAUUUGCCAAGCGCUGUCUUCAUUAAUCAAGAACGAAAGUYAGAGGUUCGAAGGCGAUCAGAUACCGCCCUAGUUCUGACCGUAAACGAUGCCAACUAGCGAUCCGCCGGCGGCUCUACGGCCCUGGUGGGGAGCUUCCCGGAAACGAAAGUCUUCCGGUUCCGGGGGAAGUAUGGUUGCAAAGCUGAAACUUAAAGGAAUUGACGGAAGGGCACCACCAGGAGUGGAGCCUGCGGCUUAAUUUGACUCAACACGGGAAAACUCACCCGGCCCGGACACCGUGAGGAUUGACAGAUUGAUAGCUUUUUCAUGAUUCGGUGGUUGGUGGUGCAUGGCCGUUCUUAGUUCGUGGAUCGAUUUGUCUGGUUUAUUCCGAUAACGAGCGAGACUCCAGCCUACUAACUAGUGCGGGCAUUGCUUCUGUGCUUGUCACUUCUUAGAGGGAUUGGCUGCGUCUAGCGGCACGAAACGGAGCAAUAACAGGUCUGUGAUGCCCUUAGAUGUCCGGGGCUGCACGCGCGCUACACUGGCAAAGGCAGCGUGCUUGUCCGCCUCCGAAAGGAGCCGGUAAACCCUUGAAAAUUUGCCGUGAUUGGGAUCGGAAAUUGCAAUUAUUUUCCGUGAACGAGGAAUUCCUAGUAAGUGCGAGUCAUCAGCUCGCGUUGAUUACGUCCCUGCCCUUUGUACACACCGCCCGUCGCUGCCUAGAACUGAGCCAUUUCGAGAAUAUUCGGGAUCGCUGGUUGCGGGUCCUUCGGGGCACGCCUCUGGCAAGAGAACGAACAGUAAUCGCAGUGGCUUGAACCGGGC
rnacentral:rRNA from 1 species